UACGAAGGGGGCUAGCGUUGUUCGGAAUUACUGGGCGUAAAGCGCGCGCAGGCGGUUCUUCAAGUCAGUGGUGAAAGCCCGGAGCUCAACUCCGGAACUGCCAUUGAAACUGUAGAACUUGAGGAUGAGGGAGGUGAGUGGAAUUCCCAGUGUAGAGGUGAAAUUUGUAGAUAUUGGGAAGAACACCGGUGGCGAAGGCGGCUCACUGGCUCAUUUCUGACGCUCAGGCGCGACAGCGUGGGGAUCAAACAGG
rnacentral:rRNA from 1 species